rnacentral:rRNA from 1 species
CUGAGACCUGAUGCCGAGCCGAUUGUGGUGAAGUGGAUGAUCCUAUGCUGUCGAGAAAAGCCUCUAGCGAGUUUCAUGGCGGCCCGUACCCUAAACCGACUCAGGUGGUCAGGUAGAGAAUACCGAGGCGUUCGGGUGAACUAUGGUUAAGGAACUCGGCAAAAUGCCCCCGUAACUUCGGGAGAAGGGGGGCCAUCACUGGUGAUCCAAUUUACUUGGUGAGCUGGGGGUGGCCGCAGAGACCAGCGAGAAGCGACUGUUUACUAAAAACACAGGUCCGUGCGAAGCCGUAAGGCGAUGUAUACGGACUGACGCCUGCCCGGUGCUGGAACGUUAAGGGGACCGGUUAGUCACAUUUCGGUGUGGCGAAGCUGAGAACUUAAGCGCCAGUAAACGGCGGUGGUAACUAUAACCAUCCUAAGGUAGCGAAAUUCCUUGUCGGGUAAGUUCCGACCUGCACGAAUGGCGUAACGACUUCUCGACUGUCUCAACCAUAGGCCCGGUGAAAUUGCACUACGAGUAAAGAUGCUCGUUUCGCGCAGCAGGACGGAAAGACCCCGGGACCUUUACUACAGUUUGAUAUUGGUGUUCGGUUCGGCUUGUGUAGGAUAGGUGGGAGACUUUGAAGCGGCCACGCCAGUGGUUGUGGAGUCGUCGUUGAAAUACCACUCUGGUCGUGCUGGAUGUCUAACCUCGGUCCGUGAUCCGGAUCAGGGACAGUGUCUGAUGGGUAGUUUAACUGGGGCGGUUGCCUCCUAAAGAGUAACGGAGGCGCCCAAAGGUUCCCUCAGCCUGGUUGGCAAUCAGGUGUUGAGUGUAAGUGCACAAGGGAGCUUGACUGUGAGACCGACGGGUCGAGCAGGGACGAAAGUCGGGACUAGUGAUCCGGCGGUGGCUUGUGGAAGCGCCGUCGCUCAACGGAUAAAAGGUACCCCGGGGAUAACAGGCUGAUCUUCCCCAAGAGUCCAUAUCGACGGGAUGGUUUGGCACCUCGAUGUCGGCUCGUCGCAUCCUGGGGCUGGAGUCGGUCCCAAGGGUUGGGCUGUUCGCCCAUUAAAGCGGUACGCGAGCUGGGUUUAGAACGUCGUGAGACAGUUCGGUCCCUAUCCGCUGCGCGCGCAGGAACAUUGAGAAGGGCUGUCCCUAGUACGAGAGGACCGGGACGGACGAACCUCUGGUGUGCCAGUUGUCCUGCCAAGGGCAUGGCUGGUUGGCUACGUUCGGAAAGGAUAACCGCUGAAAGCAUCUAAGCGGGAAGCCUGCUUCGAGAUGAGUGUUCCCACCUCCUUGAGAGGGUAAGGCUCCCAGUAGACGACUGGGUUGAUAGGCCAGAUGUGGAAGCCCGGUAACGGGUGGAGCUGACUGGUACUAAUAGGCCGAGGGCUUGUCCUC